rnacentral:tRNA from 1 species
AAGAUGUUAUAUAAGACUUCUAAUCUUUAACCAGUAAUACCCACUACAUCUUA